GCACCCGUAGCUCAGCCGGAUAGAGCGCUGCCCUCCGAAGGCAGAGGCCACAGGUUCGAAUCCUGUCGGGUGCGCCA
rnacentral:tRNA from 2 species